AACGAACGCUGGCGGCAUGCCUAACACAUGCAAGUCGAACGAGACCUUCGGGUCUAGUGGCGCACGGGUGCGUAACGCGUGGGAACCUGCCUUUAGGUUCGGAAUAACUCAGAGAAAUUUGAGCUAAUACCGGAUAAUGUCUUCGGACCAAAGAUUUAUCGCCUUUAGAUGGGCCCGCGUUGGAUUAGCUAGUUGGUGUGGUAAAGGCCUACCAAGGCGACGAUCCAUAGCUGGUCUGAGAGGAUGAUCAGCCACACUGGGACUGAGACACGGCCCAGACUCCUACGGGAGGCAGCAGUGGGUAAUAUUGGACAAUGGGCGAAAGUCUGAUCCAGCAAUGCCGCGUGAGUGAUGAAGGCCUUAGGGUUGUAAAGCUCUUUAACCCGAGAUGAUAAUGACAGUAUCGGGAGAAUAAGCUCCGGCUAACUCCGUGCCAGCCGCCGCAGUAA
rnacentral:rRNA from 1 species